AUUGAACGCUGGCGGCAGGCCUAACACAUGCAAGUCGAACGAGUGGCGGACGGGUGCGUCAUGUCUGGGCAACUGCCUGAUGGACGGGGAUAACUACUGGAAACGGUAGCUAAUACCGCAUACCAUCAGAUGUGCCCAGAUGGGAUUAGCAAGUUGGUGGGGUAACGGCUCACCAAGGCGCCGAUCCCUAGCUGGUCGGGCAGGAUGACCAGCCACACUGGAACUGAGACACGGUCCAGACUCCUACGGGAGGCAGCAGUGGGGAAUAUUGCACAAUGGGCGCAAGCCUGAUGCAGCCAUGCCGCGUGUAUGAAGAAGGCCUUCGGGUUGUAAAGUACUUUCAGCGGGGAGGCGUUACCCGCAGAAGAAGCACCGGCUAACUCCGUGCCAGCAGCCGCGGUAAUUC
rnacentral:rRNA from 1 species